rnacentral:rRNA from 1 species
UACGUAGGGUGCAAGCGUUGCCCGGAUUUAUUGGGCGUAAAGGGCGCGUAGGCGGCUCGGCACGUCCGUUGUGAAAUCGCCCGGCUCAACUGGGCGGGGUCAGCGGAUACGGCCGAGCUUGAGCAAGCUAGGGGGCAAUGGAAUUCCCGGUGUAGUGGUGGAAUGCGUAGAUAUCGGGAGGAACACCGGUGGCGAAGGCGGCUUCCUGGACCGACACUGACGCUGAGGCGCGAAAGCUAGGGGAGCAAACGGG